UAAGUUACCCAUUUCUGUGCUUUGUAAAUAUUUCUUUUAAUUAUGCAAAUUCUGUGAAAUGGAAUCAACUGGUCUGACCUGGAAAUCAACACAAUCAAUGCUUUGGAAUUAGAAUUUGCUCCCCCACAACACUCUCUUGAGUGAGAAAGACCCCAGGCAACUGUAUCUGUUAAGACAUCUGCAAAAAAUUGCCCAUUGCGUUCUAAGUGGGGACACCAUUCAGGAGCUUUAGCCUAGUUCAUGUCGCAUAAAAUGUAGCUAAAUACAUUACAUUUUCCUAUGCUGUUGACUCCAGGUGAUCCUCCUUUCAGGAGGCAAGGUAAGGUUGCUACCUCAGGAUACUAUGAAGCAUAAUAAAUUUGCCUUAAAAAUAGUGGGCUUAACAUGUAUUUAAAGCUGCCAAUGGAGUGGCAAAUGAAAUGUCUCUGAAAUAGUGUUGGGCCAAUCGGCUGGAGGGGUUUUCCUGGGGGCAGUCCAGUGCCCUCUUGGCAGCUGUUCUUUGUUGCCAUCACAUCAAUUGUGAGUAGACGUGUGGGAUGUUAUAGAGAAGGUUGAUAAUGGGAACUCGGCUAAAUGGGAGAACAGAAGGUUAAGGCUAAUUUCAGCUAUUAAGAUCGGGUGAGGAAGUAAGGAAGAAAGAAAAAGAAUGAAACAUCAGGAAAGAUCUGCACAGAACAAUUGCAGUGGGAAUAGAGCUAUCUGGCAGGUUCCCAAAUCUUCACUCAUGACAAAAGUACUGUUGUACCUACUGGAAAGGUAGAUUAGUUUGUCUGGUACAGAUACCUUGAGUUACAAACGCCUCAGGUUACAAACGCUUCAGGUAACAAACUCCACUAACCUGGAAGAGUUACCUCAAGUUGAGAACUUUGCCCCAGGAUGAGAACGGAAAUCGUGUGCCACCGGCGGCGCAGCAGCAAGAGGCCCCAUUAGCAAAAGCACACCUCUGGUUAAGAACAGUUUCAGGUUAAGAUCAGACCUCCGGAACGAAUUAAGUUCUUAACCUGAGGUACCACUGUAUAGGAUUAAUGGGGCCCCACUCUGGCAUGGCCUGCAACACCUCUUCCCUCCUCUGUCUCCACGGUUGGCUUUCAGUUAAUGAUUCAUUGCAGAAAAUAGGUUAACAUUAUUCUGAGUUUCAGUUCCAAACUGUUCAUGAUUGGCAGGUAUGCAAAACUGAAGAGGGUACCAGCCUAUUUCCUGUAAAAGCUACUCGUGCCUUCAUCCACUAAAGAUGCAAGGAAGCUCAACCCAGUGAUGCUACACUGGCAAAGCAAAAUUUACUGAUGCCUUGUCUCAAUAAGGUACAUUAAGAACUUAACCGUCCAGGGGUCCUUUACCUUACCUUUACAUUAAGAACGUCCAUUACUCCUUACAAAAGGCGUCCCACCAGGACAUGCAUUUUUCUGGGUUCCUAUCAAUUACUGGGCAUGAAUAAAAAUCAGAAUUAAAACCUUUGUAGAUGCUGCUGGUACUUCUAAGCUUUAUUUUCAGUGUAAAUUAUGUACACAUUGCUGUUUUCCACAGGUACUGUAUCAUGGUAGGUUAGAACAACGAUAGUGAAUAAAUGUAUAAAGUUUGGUACUUAGAAUAUUAUUUUUUUUAAUGGUCUGAGCUUUACCAACAUUUUAACUACACCGCCCAAAACUGUCAUUGAAAUGGUUGUUGUACAUGUACCUUAUUAACUCAACAUCUCUCUUUACGUCUGUAUAUGAAUAGCUUGGUUUCUACGUCAGAGCUCAAAAGGAAGCAUGUAAUGAUUUUUGUUGUUAAAUCGCUUUCAUAAUAAAUCUAAAAUUAGAUAAAA